GUGUGUGUGUGUGUGUGAUCACCUGAAUUUUUUUUUCAGUAAAUUCUUGAUCAUUUUAUUUUUAUUCAAACCAGAAAUAAAGCCAUAUAUAUAAACGCACGUGAAUGAAUGAAUGAAUGAAUGAACUGAACUGAAAUGUGCAUGUGCAUGUGCAUGUGCAUGUAUUGGAAAAAAAAACCGAGCAGGUGUCAUGGGUCAAUCAUUAUUGCUGUUCUUCUUCUUUUUUUUCUUCUUCUUUAUUUGUCUUAUUAUUAGAGAUGAAGAAACGAAGAAAUAUUAACCACCGACCGGGAUCGACCGAAACGUACACACACACACACACACACACACACCGGUGUGGUUGGUGUUGAUCCGUUUAACCACCAUCAUGUGUAUUUGUCAAAAGUUUGUACACCUGAAUUAAUGAAUUAACGAUACACACCCAAUGAAUGGCAUAUAUACACACACACACACACACAAUCAGGACAAGAUAGAUAUAUUGUCUUUUGGCUAAUCAAACAAAUUCAAAAAGAUCAGAAAAUGUUUACCAUAAGAUGAAAUGGUCGAUGUCUUUCAAUAUGAACUCAUAAAUCGCGCCAUAAUUCAAUAAAUCGGUGAUUUAUUUUCCAAUAAUAAUAAUAACCAAAAUAGAAUGGUUUGUUUUUUUUGUUAACCAUCAACAUCAUGAUCAGUUAAGAAGAUUUUGGCCACAUUUGAAUCACACAGAUGUUAUUUUUUUUCUCGUUAUUGUUCAUGUUGCUAAAACAUUAUUUUAUUUUUUUUUUUUUUUUUUGGAAUCCGAUUC